CCUACGGGAGGCAGCAGUGAGGAAUAUUGGUCAAUGGGCGCGAGCCUGAACCAGCCAAGUAGCGUGAAGGAUGAAUGACCUCCGGGUGGUAAACUUCUUUUAUAAAGGAAUAGAGUGAGGCACGUGACCCUUUAUGUCUGUACUUUUUCAUUCCAGCUCGGCUAACUCCGUGCCAGAAGCCGCGGUAAUACGGAGGUGCCGAGCGUUAUCCGGAUUUAGUGGGUUUAAAGGGAGCGUAGAUGGGUGGUUAAGUCUGUUGGGAAAGUUUGCGGCUCAACCGUAAAAUUGCAAUUGAUACUGGCAGUCUGGAGUACAGGUGAGGUAGGCGGAAUUCGUGGUGUAGCGGUGAAAUGCUUAGAUAUCACGAAGAACACCGAUUGCGAAGGCAGCUUACUAAACUGCCACUGACAUUGAUGCUCGAAAGUGUGGGUAUCAAACAGGAUUAGAUACCCGUGUAGUC
rnacentral:rRNA from 1 species